GUGUCAGCAGCCGCGGUAAUACGUAUGGGGCGAGCGUUGUUCGGAAUCAUUGGGCGUAAAGGGCGUGUAGGCGGUUUUGUAAGCCCGGUGUUAAAGGUAUUGGCUUAACCAAUAUUUGGCGCUGGGUACUGCAAGACUAGAGUCCUGGAGAGGAAGCUGGAAUUCCUGGUGUAGGGGUGAAAUCUGUAGAUAUCAGGAAGAACACCGAUGGCGGAGGCAAGCUUCUAGCCAUGGACUGACGCUGAGGCGCGAAAGCGUGGGGAGCAAACAGGAUUAGAUACCCCGGUAGUCC
rnacentral:rRNA from 1 species